UAGGGAAUCUUCCACAAUGGACGCAAGUCUGAUGGAGCAACGCCGCGUGAGUGAAGAAGGUUUUCGGACCGUAAAGCUCUGUUGUUGGUGAAGAAGGAUAGAGGUAGUAACUGGCCUUUAUUUGACGGUAAUCAACCAGAAAGUCACGGCUAACUACGUGCCAGCAGCCGCGGUAAUCGUAGGUGGCAAGCGUUGUCCGGAUUUAUUGGGCGUAAAGCGAGCGCAGGCGGAAGAAUAAGUCUGAUGUGAAAGCCCUCGGCUUAACCGAGGAAUUGCAUCGGAAACUGUUUUCUUGAGUGCAGAAGAGGAGAGUAGAACUCCAUGUGUAGCGGUGGAAUGCGUAGAUAUAUGGAAGAAUACCAGUGGCGAAGGCGGCUCUCUGGUCUGCAACUGACGCUGAGGCUCGAAAGCAUGGGUAGCGAACAGGAUUAGAUACCCUGGUAGUCCAUGCCGUAAACGAUGAGUGCUAAGUGUUGGGAGGCUUCCGCCUCUCAGUGCUGCAGCUAACGCAUUAAGCACUCCGCCUGGGGGAGUACGACCGC
rnacentral:rRNA from 1 species